AGGACGAACGCUGGCGGCGUGCUUAGCACAUGCAAGUCGAGCGGAAAGGCCCUUCGGGGUACUCGAGCGGCGAACGGGUGAGUAACACGUGAGUAAUCUGCCCCUAGCUCUGGGAUAGCUCCGGGAAACCGGGAUUAAUACCGGAUACGACCACUUUAGACAUCUGUUGUGGUGGAAAGAAUUUUGGCUAGGGAUGAGCUCGCGGCCUAUCAGCUUGUUGGUGGGGUAACGGCCUACCAAGGCGACGACGGGUAGCCGGCCUGAGAGGGCGACCGGCCACGACCUGGGACUGAGACACGGCCCAGACUCCUACGGGAGGCAGCAGUGGGGAAUAUUGCGCAAUGGGCGAAAGCCUGACGCAGCGACGCCGCGUGGGGGAUGAAGGCCUUCGGGUUGUAAACCCUUUCAGCAGGGACGAAGCGAAAGUGACGGUACCUGCAGAAGAAGCGCCGGCUAACUACGUGCCAGCAGCCGC
rnacentral:rRNA from 1 species